rnacentral:RNase_P_RNA from 1 species
GAAGCGCGCCAGACAGUCGCUGUGGUCAAACACAGAGGAAAGUCCGGACUCCACAGGGCAGGGUAGUGGGUAAUACCCAUCCACCGCAAGGUGCGGAUCAGAGCAACAGAGACGAGUCUGUCCCGGGCAACUGGGACAGGGUGAAACGGGCAAUCUCUACCCGGAGCAAACCCAAAUAGGCAGGCGUUGAGGCGGCCCGCGGAGCCUGCGGGUAGGGCGCUAGAGGUUUGCGGCAACGCAAAUCCCAGAGGAAUGACUGUCAUAGCACGCAAGUGCCGUAACAGAAUCCGGCUUACCGGCGCGCUUCCAAU